GGUGAGAAUGCAUAGCAGCAGGCAGACUAGCGACAGCGCCAGCCCCACCUUGGUGAUCAGGGCCAGCUUCGGGUCCUAGAUGCAGGAUGGGAAGAGCACACGUCUGACCUCC